GCAAGCUUCCUAGAACUCUGAAAGUAGUCAAGCUGUGGAGGCUGGGAGCGCGGAGGAUCGAGAUCAGGAAGCCGGGAAGCCAACUUCUAGGGCCACGAUAAGAGAGAGGACUGGUCUGUUAAGAAGCAUAGAGACCAAGCGUCCUGCGCCCUUCAACGGGCUCGGGGCAGGAAGCCGGAGCCGGAAUCUGGGCCGGGAGGCGAAGGGAGGGUCUAGGACCGAUCCAGGAUCGUGGAUGCGUGAGAGUCCCAGUGCCACUCCUCACCCGGCUCCAGAUCCAGGUUCGACUUCGUUCCUAACGUCAAGGCUCCCAGGCUCCACUUCCGGUUCCGAGGGAGCCGUUGCGUCACUCCCGGAAGUUCCUCCCCCACGCUCCAGGGCCGGGCCACUACUUCUGCCACGUCUGCACGAGGCACGCGUUCAGGAGCCCGGAUGCCGCGCAUGCGCCACUGCCCUCUGACAUCAUGGCCACUCCGGGGAGGGUCUGCUGAGUCGUAUGCAUUUUCCUUUUUUUUGUUUUUCUUUUUGUUUUGGUUUUCAGAUGUCCUGGUCACUCUAUGGCCUCACCAACUGAGUUGUGAUUAAAAAGGCUGAGUGAAA